rnacentral:misc_RNA from 1 species
GUGAACGCCCUCACGGGCUUAUAACUAUUCCAAACCUCUGUGAACCGUGCCCUUCGGGGCUAUUUUACAAACAUGGUGUAAUGAACGUCAUAUAUCAUAACCAAAACAA